rnacentral:rRNA from 1 species
UGGGGAAUAUUGGACAAUGGGCGCAAGCCUGAUCCAGCCAUGCCGCGUGAGUGAUGAAGGCCCUAGGGUUGUAAAGCUCUUUCGCACGCGACGAUAAUGACGGUAGCGUGAGAAGAAGCCCCGGCUAACUUCGUGCCAGCAGCCGCGGUAAUACGAAGGGGGCUAGCGUUGUUCGGAAUCACUGGGCGUAAAGGGCGCGUAGGCGGCCGAUCAAGUCGGGGGUGAAAGCCUGUGGCUCAACCACAGAAUGGCCUUCGAUACUGGUUGGCUCGAGACCGGAAGAGGUGAGUGGAACUGCGAGUGUAGAGGUGAAAUUCGUAGAUAUUCGCAAGAACACCAGUGGCGAAGGCGGCUCACUGGUCCGGUUCUGACGCUGAGGCGCGAAAGCGUGGGGAGCAAACAG